GACAGAGGGUGCAAACGUUGUUCGGAAUUACUGGGCGUAAAGCGUGUGUAGGCGGCUUUGUAAGUCGGAUGUGAAAGCCCCGGGCUCAACCCGGGAAGUGCACUCGAUACUGCGAAGCUUGAGUACUGGAGAGGUUGGUGGAAUUCUCGUGUAGAGGUGAAAUUCGUAGAUAUCGAGAGGAACACCGGUGGCGAAGGCGGCCAACUGGACAGAUACUGACGCUGAGACACGAAAGCGUGGGGAGCAAACAGG
rnacentral:rRNA from 1 species